AUGGGUUUCGCUCCUUCCCUGCGUGCUGGUUUCCUCCUCGUGCUUCUCGGCCUCUGCGCGGCGCUCCCGCCGCCGGCGCCGCCGGAGAUGCUGCACGAGAGCUUCGCGGGGAAGUCGGAGUUCCGGACGGUCAACCGGAGGCCGCUGGAGUCGUGCCGGAACCCGAGCCCGUACCUGUCCAUCAAUGUCAGCACCGCCGGGCCGCUGCCCGACGAGGCGUUCGUCAAUGUCACCGUCGGCGGCGUCUUCAGGCCCCGUGGCUCGCACUGGGUCGCCAUGAUCACGCCUUCAAACUCCAGUGUUUCCGGAUGUCCACUGAGCGGCGUGAACUAUUUGGAGACCGGCGACACGGCGAAGCUCCCUCUUCUCUGCCACUACCCUGUGAAGGCCCAGCGGGUGAAGAGCGACCCGAGCUACCUGGGGUGCAAGAAGGCGGCGUGCCAGAAGCGCGACGCGUCGGGCGGCUGCCAGGUCCGGACGUGCGGCGCCACGCUGACGUUCCACGUCAUCAACUUCCGCACGGACGUGGAGUUCGUCUUCUUCGCCGGCGGGUUCCAGACGCCGUGCCUCCUCAAGCGCUCCGGUGUCCUCCGCUUCGCCAACCCGGCCAAGCCCCUCAACGGCCACCUCUCCAGCACCGACUCCACCGCCACCUCGAUGAAGCUCACGUGGGUGAGCGGCGACGGGAGGCCGCAGCAGGUUCAGUACGCAGGAGGCAGGGCUGCUGCUUCCGUGGCUACGACGUUCACUCAGAAGGACAUGUGCAGUGCUCCCCUGUUGCCGAGCCCGGCCAAGGAUUUCGGGUGGCAUGACCCUGGCUACAUCCAUUCGGCCGUCAUGACCGGCCUCCAGCCUUCUCAGUCCUAUGACUAUCGCUAUGGAAGUGAUUCUGUGGGUUGGAGUGACACUGUCAAGUUUAGAACCCCUCCAGCUGCAGGGUUAGACGAGACGUCCUUUGUGAUCUAUGGCGACAUGGGGAAGGCUCCACUAGACCCAUCGGUGGAACACUAUAUUCAGCCGGGAUCGAUCGCUGUGACCAAAGCAGUCGCCAAGGAGAUGCAGACCGGGAAGGUCGACUCCAUCUUCCACAUAGGAGACAUCAGCUACGCCACGGGGUUUCUGGUCGAGUGGGACUUCUUCCUUCACCUCAUCAGGCCGCUCGCUUCUCAGGUCUCCUACAUGACCGCCAUUGGGAACCACGAGAGGGAUUAUGCAGGGUCUGGGUCUGUGUACGUGACCCCGGAUUCGGGCGGCGAAUGCGGCGUCGCCUACGAGUCCUACUUCCCCAUGCCCGCUGCUGGCAAGGACAAGCCGUGGUAUUCCAUCGAGCAAGGCAGCGUCCACUUCAUCUUCAUGUCCACCGAGCAUUCCUGGUCGGAGAAGUCGGAGCAAUAUAACUGGAUGGAGAGGGAUUUGUCGUCGGUCGAUCGAUCCAGGACUCCAUGGGUGAUCUUCAUUGGGCAUAGACCAAUGUACUCAUCGAAUGUGGGCAUAAUUCCCAGCGUGGACCCGGACUUUGUUGCCUCUGUGGAGCCACUCUUGCUCACCAACAAGGUGGAUUUGGUUUUCUUCGGCCAUGUGCACAACUACGAGAGGACCUGCGCAGUUUACAAGGGCAAGUGCAGAGGCAUGCCGAGGAAGGAUGCCAGUGGCAUCGACACCUACGAUAACAGCAACUACACUGCGCCAGUCCAUGCCAUCGUUGGAGCAGGAGGGUUCAGCUUGGACGGCUUCUCUCUCAUUCCGCAGAGCUGGAGCGUGUCGAGGAUUUCAGAGUUUGGCUAUGCCAGGGUGCACGCCACUAAGACCAGUGUGUUGGUUCAGUUUGUAAGCUCAGGCACAACGGAGAUCCGGGACCAAUUUAGAAUUGUGAAGGGAGGCAGAUGA
rnacentral:rRNA from 1 species